UUGGACUGAAUUUUCCAAAAAUCAUCCACUAUAUUUCAGAUAAAGUAUAAAUCUAAGAACAAUUCCCAAAUAUUUUUAAGUUGACUUUGCAUUCUGAUUAAAAAAAAAAAAAAAAAAAGAUUUGUUCGUUUUCAAAGUUUUUGGGCAUUUCUGAUCACUACCCUUGUACAGUGUUAGAAACCCUCUUAGGAAGCAAGAAGAUCUGGUUUUGCCACUAAACAUCAAGUGCCAAAGAUAUGGUGACCCCACCAAAUGGCCAAAAAUGUCUCUUCACCAUUAUUUGUUGGCAACCAUGUAUUGUUAAUUUUGCAGCCUAUAAAAACAGGGUUUGGGAGCCAAUCCAAUUCUUCAUCGAAUAGGGCAAAAACCAAUAAGCAAGAAGUUGAAUCUUUAAGUAGCAGUUUCAAGGCAUUGGUUGCUCGUCUCUCUCAAGGGCUUCUCACUUGGGCAAUCCAAAAGGAUCUUUUUCAUAUUUUUUUUUCCCUAAUGGUGGGAACCUAUGGAUUGUUGCUUAGGAGCUCUUGGGGGGGAACGAACAAACUUUGCUUUGCUUGCCCACCAAUCUAUAUAUAGAUGCAUAUAUAGAUGCAUCUAAGUCCAAGGCAUUUGUCUGUUGCUCACUCUCCCUCAACGGCUUCUAGCUAGAUAGCAAUGGCAGACAUUGUAAACUCGAAGCCUUGUUGGAGAGCGAACAAAAGGUGUCUUGAUAUUAUCAUCCAGCUCAAAGGCCGAUCGAUUACCAAUAACAUUCGUAUUGAUUAGAUGAUCAAGUAUAUAAAUAUAUGUACAUGUUUGUAUGUAUAUAUAUGUUGGAGUCCAAGGCAUUUUUGUUGCUCACUCUCCCUCAAGGGCUUCUAGCUAGAUAACAAUGCCAGACAUUGUAUAUAAGCUCGAAGCCCGGAGGAAGAGUGGACAAAAGGUGUCUUGAUUAUAUUACUCAUCAAGCUCAAUCGGCUGAUCAAUUUGCACUGAAGAACAUAUACACAUGUGUGUGUAUUGAAGUCCAAGGCAUUUUUAUUGCUCACUCUCCCUCAAAGGCUUCAAGCUAAAUACCAAUGCCAAACAUUGUUAGCCUGGGGCCUUAUUGUGGGAGAGUGAACAAAAGGUGUCUCGAUAUUACUCAAAUUAAGCUCAGAGGCUGAUCAAUUAGCAUUGAAGAUAUUGUUUAGCAAGGUAUAUACGGUACUCCCAAGGCAUUUUUGUUGCUCGCUCUCCCUCAAGGGCUUCUAGCUACCAUGGCAAGAGAUGGUGACGAGCUCGAAGCUUUGGGAAGAGCGAACAAAAGGUGUCUCGAUAAAUUUCAAGCUCAAGAGGCACAGGUUGGAUUGAAGAUUUAUGGGGGAGAGGAUGAUGAUUAAUAAUUACUGCUCUAGCAGCUCGGUGGUUCUCAGUUUAUAAGCGGAAGAGUACAGUGCAUGAGCAGGAUUUGAAAGUGGUUUCUGCUAUAACAUAUAGGAAACUACUGUUAAUUUUCAAGUUUUUUCAUACUUUUCAAAAGUACCAAGUUGCUAUUUUUUUAUAUAGCAAUUUUCAAAAUAGCUAGCUAACUAGCUAGCUAGCAGUAUACACUAAUUUUUGUCUCCUUUGGUGAUGGUGAUGGUGGUUGGUAUUGGAAAACUAGCAAACUGAUGACAAUUGAAGAUAGGAUUGACACUAGUAUAUAUCUUUUGGUCCAUAAAGUGUGCCAUUGGAAAAAAUAUUGUGUUGAAAAUGCAUAAAAACCUUUUCUUUUUUUUCUUUUUUUUUUU